GACGAACGCUGGCGGCGUGCCUAAUACAUGCAAGUAGGACGCAGUUGCGAACGGGUGAGUAACGCGUAGGUAACUGCCUAUUAGAGGGGGAUAACUAUUGGAAACGAUAGCUAAUACCGCAUACUAGUAGAUGGACCUGCGUUGUAUUAGCUAGUAGGUAGGGUAAUGGCCUACCUAUGCGACGAUACAUAGCCAAGCUGAGGUGGUGGUUGGCCACACGUGGAAUGAGACACGGCCCAGACUCCUACGGGAGGCAGCAGUAGGGAAUCUUCGGCAAUGGGGGGAACCCUGACCGAGCAACGCCGCGUGAGUGAAGAAGGUUUUCGGAUCGUAAAGCUCUGUUGUUAAGGAAGCGGUACUUAACCAGAAAGGGACGGCUAACUACGUGCCAGCCGCCGCGGUAAUAC
rnacentral:rRNA from 1 species